rnacentral:rRNA from 1 species
GACGAACGCUGGCGGCGUGCUUAACACAUGCAAGUCGAACGGAAAGGCCCUGCUUUUGUGGGGUGCUCGAGUGGCGAACGGGUGUGUAACACGUGAGUAUCCUGCCCUUGUCUUUGUGAUAACUUCACGAAACUGGGGCUAAUACCGGAUAGGAGCUCCUGCUGCAUGUUGGUGGUUGGUAAGUUUCGGCGGUUGUGGAUGGACUCGCUGCUUCUCAGCUUGUUGGUGGGGUAGUGGCUUACCAAGGGUUUGACGGGUAGCCGGCCUGAGAGGGUGACCGGGCACAUUGGGACUGAGAGACGGAGCAGUCUCGUAAGGGAGGCAGCAGUGGGGAAUAUGGCAGAAUGGGCGGAAGCGUGAUGCAGCAACGUCGGGUGCGGGAUGACGGCCUUUGGGUUGAAAACCGAUUUCGACUGUAACGAGGAGUGAUUGACGGUAACGAGUAAGGAAGCACCGGCUAACUACGUG